GACGAACGCUGGCGGCGUGCCUAAUACAUGCAAGUCGAGCGCAGGAAGCUCACGGAACUCUUCGGAGGGAAGUGAAGGGAAUGAGCGGCGGACGGGUGAGUAACACGUAAGGAACCUGCCCCAAGGAUUGGGAUAACUCCGAGAAAUCGGAGCUAAUACCGAAUAGUUCUUCAGACCGCAUGGUCUGUGAUGAUGAAAGGCGCUUCGGCGUCACCUUGGGAUGGCCUUGCGGUGCAUUAGCUAGUUGGUGGGGUAAUGGCUCACCAAGGCGACGAUGCAUAGCCGACCUGCGAGGGUGAUCGGCCACACGGGGACUGAGACACGGCCCAGACUCCUACGGGAGGCAGCAGUAGGGAAUCUUCCACAAUGGACGAAAGUCUGAUGGAGCAACGCCGCGUGAGUGAUGAAGGUUUUCGGAUCGUAAAACUCUGUUGUAAGGGAAGAACAGGUAUGAGAGGUAAUGCUCAUGCUAUGACGGUACCUUACGAGAAAGCCACGGCUAACUACGUGCCAGCCGCCGCGGUAACAC
rnacentral:rRNA from 1 species